AAACCUCAACCUCCUUGGUUUCUUCUGGAGACCAAAGCAGGCUUGGACUUUGGAGGCGCUUGCUGGCACCUCUCUUUUUGAAGGCCAGCUCCUCUUAAACAAAUUAGCAGGGUCCUCUUUGCUGAUCCUCGAUGUGUGAUAAGAUGUUUCCAUGUCUUGGCUUCUGGCUCUGUCACUUUUGGGACCUGCUUCUAACUGUCUGGACCUUGAGUUUGAGACAACGUUCGAGCAUGUGCCUCCCUUAUCGGGAAGCUCCCUCGACCCCACGACC
rnacentral:misc_RNA from 1 species